GGAAUAUGAGGGCGAUUUGGCUGUGACAUCUGUCACUCCACUGAUUGCCAGGGUUGAUUUGGCUGAUCUGGCUGGCUAGGCGGGUAUCCCCUUCCUCCCUCACCACGCUCCACAUGCCUCCCUCCCAAAGCUGUGGCCUUCCCUGAAUAAUAAGGUUGAGGGCUGCGCUCCUCUGCUAGAACCUCCAAACAAGCUCUCAAGAUAGCUGAUCUGGGAAGACACUUAGUUUGCCAUGUGCAGGUUCCAACAGGUCCUCACUGUACUGAGGGAAGCUAUGG
ensembl:misc_RNA 7SK 7SK RNA